ACGCCUCUAUGUUCCUGGCAGCCGGGAGUGGUUCCGUGACUUUUGGGACCACCGCCGAAGCCUCUGGCUGUUUCUGCCGUCACCGGAGAAUCCUGCCGUCGCCUGAGUCUGAUCACCGUUGCCGCCUAGGAUGGCUUCUGGGGCUGCCGCCGAACCGGUUCGGAGACCGCCGCUGUUUCGGUUCAGCCGUUCCUUCGGUUCGGUAAGCGUUUCGAUCUGAAAGCCCUCUAGUUACUGCUCUAUUAUACGUUGAGGAGUUGUAGCAUUUGUUGUUAUGAGAGUUAAUCUCGGUUAUUAUAUAUUGCGAUUAGAGUCGUUGUGGUUGCUGAGAAAACGGUUUGGAGCUGAGGUGUUGUUUUUAUUGCAGUGCAUUGUAUUUAUUUGACA